AUUGAACGCUGGCGGCAGGCCUAACACAUGCAAGUCGAGCGAGCGGCGGACGGGUGCGUAAUGUAUGGGGACUGCCCGAUAGAGGGGGAUAACUACUGGAAACGGUGGCUAAUACCGCAUACUGUAGGAUAACCCAUAUGGGAUUAGCUAGUAGGUAAGGUAAUGGCUUACCUAGGCGACGAUCCCUAGCUUGUCUGAGAGGAUGAUCAGCCACACUGGGACUGAGACACGGCCCAGACUCCUACGGAGGCAGCAGUGGGGAAUAUUGCACAAUGGGCGCAAGCCUGAUGCAGCCAUGCCGCGUGAAUGAAGAAGGCCUUAGGGUUGUAAAGUACUUUCAGUCGGGAGGCGUUACCGACAGAAGAAGCACCGGCUAACUCCGUGCCAGCAGCCGCGGUAAUAC
rnacentral:rRNA from 1 species